rnacentral:rRNA from 1 species
AUUGAACGCUGGCGGCAGGCCUAACACAUGCAAGUCGAACGGUAACAGGAAGCAGCUUGCUGCUUCGCUGACGAGUGGCGGACGGGUGAGUAAUGUCUGGGAAACUGCCUGAUGGAGGGGGAUAACUACUGGAAACGGUAGCUAAUACCGCAUAACGUCGCAAGACCAAAGAGGGGGACCUUCGGGCCUCUUGCCAUCGGAUGUGCCCGGAUGGGAUUAGCUAGGAGGUGGGGUAAAGGCUCACCUAGGCGACGAUCCCUAGCUGGUCUGGGAGAUGGACCAGCCACACUGGAACUGAGAAACGGUCCAGACUCCUACGGGAGGCAGCAGUGGGGAAUAUUGCACAAUGGGCGCAAGCCUGAUGCAGCCAUGCCGCGUGUAUGAAGAAGGCCUUCGGGUUGUAAAGUACUUUCAGCGGGGAGGAAGGCGAUAAGGUUAAUAACCUUGUCGAUUGACGUUACCCGCAGAAGAAGCACCGGCUAACUCCGUGCCAGCCGCCGCAGUAA